UGGUGUCCUGCUUUACCAAUGUUAAAAGUCUGGUCACCUUAGCUUAGCCUGCAGUUAGGAAACCAGGGGCCCUCGGUUUGUAGGAGUCAGCGUGUGGAACUGGUUGGUUGGGAUUAACACUGGACUGGACUGUGUCUGCUCUUUCCAGCGAGGCUUGUUGGCCUCCAUCUUUAACAAGAGACUGUCAGGAGCUGCACGCUUGGCGAUGGACUGCCAGGAACGAACGCCCGAAUCCUGCUCAGCCAGCACUGCCACCCCCUGCCCGUGGGACAGGCCCCUUAAGGUAAAGUGAUCGCGCAGAAACACCCGCGUGCAUUGCAAAGGCCAUGGCUGGGUUCAUGAUGAUACAGGACCUUGUCUGAACAUCAUGAUCUCAAAAUAUGAGCUAGGAAGUUGUCACUGAAAUCUGGUCAUGCGCCUCACCACACACCUAGCACAUCUUGUCAACAGGAAGUGUUGGCUUGACAUGACAAUUUAGCAUACUUCCAAUGGCAGUUAAAACACAUGUCAGUUCCUCAAACAUCCUUCUGCAAAACCUUCACACACAUUUCAAGCGCAUCCUUUUCUCUUCUGUACAUAUUUGUGCUGUUGGAGGCAACAAAGGAGGCCCACCCUCGGACCCCGACAGGCACAUGUGGAGACUGCCCCCACCCUCCGGCCUGGGAUGGAACACCGACACCCGCCUUUUAAGUUUCAUGGUGGCUAAGUGGAGGCCUCCCAUUGACCAACAUGCCAGCCGGAUGGAAAAUGCCUUCACGUGGACACAGCCCCUGUUCGAAGACAAUUUAUCUUGUCUGUAACCUAGGUUAGCGAUUUUCAACCCACGAGCUACAAAAUUUUAAAGCAUGUAGUGCACCCUCCCUUAGAUCUCACAUAAAUGACCAGUCAACACAACAUUGGCUGUUCAGUAUGAAUUGAAAUUACACUUACUUUCUAGGUUAAAUUGGCAAAAAUUGUAUAUUUUGGUGGCCCCCAGAAGUUUACUAAUUGGCUUAUGUGCAAUGAGAU